UAUUUGAAAGCUCUGCAUAUUACUCUAGAAACCUCUGUAUCUAAACUAUGAGACAUAGAAAAGGAAUGACAUCAUGGAGCUUUGUGUUUGGUUACCGAGGAGCUCCGUGGUGAGUCACGCAGUCCUGUGACCUGCCAGGCACCUUUCCAGUCCCAGGCGGGCGAGAUUCUUGACAACACAACCUGCCGUUGUUUGAAGAGCAGAUUUCAACAGCGACCUGUACACUCGGUCUCACUGGUGAUGCCACAGCAGUUCCUCCCUGAAUCUCUACUGGAUGGUCUCUUCUUUCCUAUCAGGACUACGUGACCUGUUGAGUGAUUACCUCUGGGACCAGUUUGUUUACUUCAAGGGAAAAAUUCACUGAACAGCCAUCAGCUACAUUCCAGAACAUUAGCCAACCACUCUGCAAAUGCACACAGUGUGGGUCUAGCACUGUCUGCCACCACUCUUGGAGAAGCAUCAUACAGAAGGGACAAAGAUUUGCUUCCAGAUGCCACUGUGGGCUCUGAAAGCAGGAACUUCAGUGAGCGGCUCUUUCCUGCUUUUGGACUACUAAUAAAAGGCCACUGGAAGUUUUAGUCUCUGGAAAUUCAUGGGACUCUACUCUUUCAAGAAGGUACUUUUGUACUUUGUACUUGAUUACCAGAGAACUUCAGUUUGAAGAUUAUGUUCCAGGACAAUGUUUGAAACUGCAAACUGCAGGGCUCAGAAUAUAUUUAUCACUCUGUGUUGUUCUGCUCCACUUGCAAGUCAUGAGCCAAAGGUACAGUUCCAUAUUUAGACUCUGACAGCCUCAUGGGUCACCUGUUAGAACAGCAGUUAGGACUCCAGGUAGAUUUGCUCUCUUUCCGCCUCCCUUGUCCUCACUUGGAUCUGCUUUACAAGGUGGGCUUUUGUGUGCGACUGCAUGUUAGACGUAAAUACAGCCCUUUAAAAGUCACUUAAAAGGAGCCCUGGUGGAAAAGACGCUCAUGUGGCCUCCCCUGGGCUCUCAGAGGGUCUUUGAGGCAGGACGCCAGAGUUGUGCAUAGCCAGCCCACGUAUGUGUUCCCCUGGGCUUCUCCUAGUGGUGUCCCCUUAUAGCACAGAUCCCUGACCCAAAGUCUUGUUUUGGGGUCAAGUAUACCGUGAUAGGAUAGAAUCUCCUGCUGCAUGCCAAGUAGCUGUCACUGGGUGGUUGCGUUCUAGGAUUUGGGUUACCUGUGUCAUCAUGAGACUUGAAUUCUCACUUCAGAACAUCAUUUGAAUUAAACCUGGGGGUCUGAUAGCAGCGGUUGCCACUGAUGACAUGCUGAGCCAUGCUACAUGAUUUACAUGCAACAUCUUUAAUUCUUGCAGCAGCUCUGAGCUUUAGAUGCUGCUGAUUCUCUAAUGCACGAGGGGAAUGUGACUUAGUCAUCAAGGUGGUCUGUCCAGAUUCCUAUAGUUAGAAACCAACAGGUCAGAAUCAGUCUCCACUCUAGGCAUGGCAGCACAUGCCUGUGAUCCCAGCACUCAAGAGGCUAAGACAGGAGGAUUGCUGUGCAUCCAAGGCCAGCCUGCACUACACAAGCUGAAUUGCAUAGCAAGACUUUGGCUCAAAACAAAACAAAGCAAAGCAAAAUAGAACAAAACAAACAAACAAAACAACAGAGUCUCUCUGGUCUCAGGCUGCUGUAACAUAAUAUUGUAGAUUGCUGGGUUUAGCAACACGUAUUGACUUCUCAAAAUUCUGGAGGCUGAGAUCUGAGAAGAGGGUGCUGUAUGACUGGUUUCCAGUGAAGUUUUUCUUCCUGGUUUGCAGAUAGCACCUUCUUACCAGGUUCUUGCAUGAUCCAGAAAUCAGGACAUGCUCUCUUGCAUGUCUUCUGAUAAGGACACUGACCCCAUUAUCUCUCCCUGAUCAGUUCAUCUGAAUCUAAGCACUUCUCGAAGCCACACCCCAGAGUUCCAUCAUGCUGGAAAUUAUGGCUUCAACAUAUGAAUUUGUGUGUGGGGAGGUAGAUUCAGCCCAUACCCCUUAGGUUUCCAAAUUUGUGCUUUAGCGGUAGAGCUUCACUGCCUCAUACAGCAUAGGGAAUCUCAUCACAGUGUGACAUCCCGCCCUUGAGGUGAGCACAGCCUCCUAUUAUGCAGGAGAAAGAGGGCAUCGCCCACAAGUGACCGCACCUGCCAGCAGUCACUUCUUCCUCCCAAACCUUCACGUUUGUGAUUCAAGAAUUUGUUUCUUUUCCUGUCCAGACGCAGAAGCUUUCCUCUUCCAAAGAGCCAAGAGGACUCGCUGGUCUUGCUCUGGCCUUCUUGGUGGCUUCUGGGUGCUCUGUGCACACAAACUGUCAGCUCUCCGCUGGACGGUUUCCAUGCUGCCCAUGUCAGGUUGGCUGUGCUCGAAGCCCCUCCUUGUCCUCCCAGAACCUCCAUGCUGUGGAUUGUGAUAUUUGAAAGAAUCACACUCUUGUUUCUGGCAAUUCCAACCCUAGUCUCAUUUUCACCUUUUUUUUUUUUUAAACAAAUAUCUACGAUAGAGGCCGGGGAUUUAGCCCUGUGGCACAAGCACCUGCCUGGCAAGUAUGAGGUUGCACUUUUUGGUACUGGUCAUGCCCAGUACCAAAAAAAAAAAAAAAAUCUCAGGAGGCAUUAGUGCUUCGUCGUUGGACACAGUUGGCAUAGGGCUGCCUGAACACAACAUUUUAAUUAAACAGACAAGGUCACUUAAAUGUAAGAGCCAAAUAAGGUUUCUGGCACCUAUUUCUUUCAACAGUGGUUGAUAACCUCCUUCCAAAUGCCAGGCCAUCCAUCACAGACACCUGGCUUACAGUAUGCAUCUCUGCUUUCUGGGGUUUGCAUUUUAGUGGGGAGAUAAAAGGGAAGGAAACCUCCUGUUUUCAGCAUAUAUAUCUUUUAUGUAAACAUAUUAAAAAUCAGUAACAGCAAUAAAGGUUUUAUUUUCUUUUUUUGAGACAGGGUUUCACUAUGUAGUGCAGGCUGGGCUUGAACUCACUUUGUAGGUUGGUCUAGUCUCUAACUUGCAACAAUCCUCCAGCAUCAGCCUCCUGAUUGCUAGGAUUACAGGUGUGCACCCCCUUGCUCAACAAUUUCUAGAGACUCUUGACUAUCAGUUAACAACGCAGUGUUGGAAACCAUGUGUGUGAUCUUAGAGAUUUUAGCCCCUAUUUAUUAUUUGUCAUUUUCUUUUCUUUUUUUUUUUUGUCUUUUUCCUUUUUAUCAGUACCAGGGAUCGAACUCAUGACUGCGUACUUCCAAGGCAGGCGCUUAUGCCGCUGAGCUAAAUCCCCAGCCCCUACUUGUCAUUUUCAAUUGUUUGUAUGAGAGCCAGAGCCUGUGGAGUGAACUUGAGCAGAUACCCGGGGUGGAGCCCUGGAAUGGGACCCGGGCAUGCUGCUCCCUGCAGCACACACAUGGCGAUAUGGGCUGUGGUCUCUCACAGGCCUACAUGACAUGCACACUAAGAAGCAGGCUUUCCCACCCUACAAUUCAGCAUGCUAUGUUGGCUCAGUUCUCUCCUAACUUCAUCCAGGCUCUGGGAUGUGCUGGGGACUGUACGCAUCCCUCCAAAGCACGUUCUGGAACUCUGACUCCUAUAGGUCAGGGCGGUCAGAAAGGACUAGGGUCCCUGUAAGAAGGGAAAGAGACCUCAGGACUUGCUCUCUCCCUUGGGUACAGUGGAAAGGACAACUGAAGACACACUCAAGGAUAGAAGUCAUCCCAGACAUUUACUCUGCUGGCCACUUGAUCUUGGACUGUGAGAAAAUUAAUUUCUAUUGUAUGAGCCAUCAGCUGGUGCUGUUUUGUUGUGGUGUCUCAGACCAUGACGGGGCCUGUUCAACCGACUGCCCAAGGAGCCCACAGAUGGUCACAGCGUUGGCUCCUUGUGGGGACCCUGCCAGCUUUGCCUCAUUUUUCCUGAAGCUUGCUUGGGUUUUCAAUUUUCUUCACUGUGAAUAGUGUUUACUCCCUGACUUGAUUAGAAGCUCCUUGAAGUUAGAACUCUAAUCAUAUACAUACUUAUUUCUACAUCUUCUAGAUACUUGCCAAAUUACUAGCCGAGUUGCACCUAAUAUGCUGAAAUAGUCUGUUUUUGUUUUGGCUUCAGAAUUGGCAAAGAAAAUGGAAAGAAUUAUGCAUAAAAUCUUGGCUAUUUUGAGAUAUGAGAGUUUUGUUUAUUCUAUAUCUGGAAUAAUCCAGUUAAUUAUCUCAGUUGCUGCCCUCCAGCUUGCAUAUUAGGAUAAAAUGGGGGCACUAACCUUCCAAUUCUACAAAAGGUUCUUUUUAGUUUAUCUUUAACUGAAGGUGUUUGUCAACCUAGAGUUUGAGUCCCAUUGACAUCUCUGACCAGGUUUUCCUACCAUUCUCCUUAAUCUUGUCUAGGGAAAGGGAAAAGCGGAACCAAACAGUUGAACCAGAAGUGAUUCCUCUCCGCUUACACGCAUUCCUUUUUCACCUAGAAUAGAAUAAAUUCAAGACAGAGAGCAGAGUUCUACCCUCAGGCCACACCGUUUAAUGUAUGGUGGGCUUUUCAAUUAAUGGCAAUAUUCUGGACUUGAUCAGAAAAUAAAGGUCAUGUGGACGGACGCCACGAGUGAUAAAUGCUUUUUUAAAUUGUUCUCCUAGAAAGGAUAUAUCUGUCAUAAAACAAUACAAAAUGAUUUUUCCUUUGCGUUCCUAACCUAAAGUGACCUCCGAGUUAUCAAUUUAAGAUGCUACGUAUAAGUAAUGGAAUCAUGAACUAUGUUUUCUGUUAAACUGUAAAAAUAAUUUUUUGUUCAGACUUAUGUAUGUGGGAACAUUUUGUGCUGAUUCCACACUGAGGUCCACAAAUUUUUUAUCCAUGAUAUUAUCUGUCUGUAUUUGAAUUUUGCAAAUACAUGUAAAAUCUUUUCUGUUGCCAUUUUAUUGACCUAUAAUAUGUGAGCGGCAAAGGCUAUGGAUGGUUAAGGAGGGACGUAAACGUCUUGUGGUUGCCAUUGACCUGAUCCUGUGGGCAAGGUCUCCAGAAGCAAAAGGCAGGAAAAAAACUCUAUCAUUUCAGCAAUUUCACCAAUU